UACGGGAGGCAGCAGUGGGGAAUAUUGCACAAUGGGCGCAAGCCUGAUGCAGCCAUGCCGCGUGUAUGAAGAAGGCCUUCGGGUUGUAAAGUACUUUCAGUCGUGAGGAAGGUGUUAAGGUUAAUAACCUUAGCAAUUGACGUUAGCGACAGAAGAAGCACCGGCUAACUCCGUGCCAGCAGCCGCGGUAAUACGGAGGGUGCGAGCGUUAAUCGGAAUUACUGGGCGUAAAGGGCACGCAGGCGGUUAAUUAAGUUGGAUGUGAAAUCCCCGGGCUUAACCUGGGAAUGGCAUUCAAGACUGGUUAGCUAGAGUCUUGUAGAGGGGGUAGAAUUCCGAUGUGUAGCGGUGAAAUGCGUAGAGAUGUGGAGGAAUACCGGUGGCGAAGGCGGCCCCUGGGACAAAGGCUGACGCUCAUGUGCGAAAGCGUGGGGAGCGAAACAGGGAUUAGAU
rnacentral:rRNA from 1 species